CCACAUCGAAAAACAUAGAGAGCGAGAGUUUUGAGUUAGCCAAUAAAUAUGGAUGCAGCUCCCUAAAAAUCCUUAACUCGUCCUGUUAGGGGUGAAAGGCGACUCGUCAAUGAUCGUUUAGAGACGGCGGGUCGUGCCAACACCUUGUAUCAUCGAACACACCUCCUUUAGGCGAGCGAGUACAGCCCUACUUUAGGUUGUCUCGCCCGUCAAUUUUUGGAAGCCUCGCCCCCGGUGGGGCUCAUUAAGUCUCUCAAUUUUCAAGAUACUCAAUUUUUUAUAUAAUCCCAUGCUUAUUGAACUAUUUAUUUCUUGGUUGCUGCUAAAAUAUUUAUAAUUAAAAUUUUUGAGGUGAAUAUAUUAUUUUUUAAUUUUAAUAUUUUUAGCAUUUUAACCCAAAAUGAAGUUUUUCAAAAGUAAUAUUCACGACAUUUUUAUCAUUUUUAAAUGAUUUAAUAAAAAGUAUUAAUAUGAAAAGAAAAAAUAUUAAAUAGUUAUUUUUAUAAAAUUAAUAAAAAUAUAACAAAUAACUUAAUUGCACUUAAUCUCAAAAAAUAACUUAAUUCCCAUGUUGUUUUUGAACAUAUUAUACCUUUGAACAUUUGAAAAUCCUGUUAGCGUGGAAUUGAAACAGCAAUAGCAAUGACAUACAUCAUCUGUGAGAACAUUAUGCACCCACAAGUUCUAGUGAACUUCCACUGGAUUUUCUAUUUAAUUUGUAGCCAAUUUACUGAUAAUUUGCUAACAUUGAAUAUGCAAUAUAUCCUUCUUUUUUUUUUUUUUUUUUUUUUUUUCUUUUUUUUUUAAUUUUCUAAAAUGGUAAAAUUACAAUCCUCUUGGUUUUCCUGCUAAAAUAUUUAUAAUUAAAAUUUUUGAGGUGAAUAUAUUAUUUUUUAAUUUUAAUAUUUUUAGCAUUUUAACCCAAAAUGAAGUUUUUCAAAAGUAAUAUUCACG
rnacentral:lncRNA from 1 species